rnacentral:rRNA from 1 species
CCUACGGGAGGCAGCAGUGAGGAAUAUUGGUCAAUGGACGAGAGUCUGAACCAGCCAAGUAGCGUGAAGGACGAAGGUGCCAAGCAUUGUAAACUUCUUUUGUCAAGGGACAAAAUCAGGCUCGAGAGCCUGACCGAGGGUACUUGAAGAAAAAGCAUCGGCUAACUCCGUGCCAGCAGCCGCGGUAAUACCGAGGAUGCGAGCGUUAUCCGGAUUUAUUGGGUUUAAAGGGUGCGUAGGCGGGCUGUUAAGUCAGCGGUAAAAGCCCGGGGCUCAACCCCGGCGAGCCGUUGAAACUGGCGGUCUUGAGAUGUCGAGAGGUAGGCGGAAUGCGCGGUGUAGCGGUGAAAUGCUUAGAUAUUGCGCAGAACUCCGAUUGCGAAGGCAGCAUACCGGCGGCGAUCUGACGCUGAGGCACGAAAGCGUGGGUAUCGAACAGGAUUAGAUACCCUUGUAGUC